rnacentral:misc_RNA from 1 species
AAGACUAUAGACCUGCGGAGUACCUGCGGAAGGAUCAUUACCGAGUACCGGGGCCUUCGGGUUCCUACUCCCACCCUAUGUUGACUUUAAAUGUUGCUUUGGCGGACCGGUGGUCUCACCGCUGGCCUAGGCUGGAGAGCGUCCGCCAGAGGAUUUUAAACUCUGUUUAACGGUGAAUUCUGAGUCUUGAUAAAUUGAAUCAAAACUUUUAACAAUGGAUCUCUAGAUCGGAAGAGCACA